rnacentral:rRNA from 1 species
UUAGUAGAAAAUAUCAAGAUGGAUGGAUAUAAUAUAUGAUAUAUAAUAAGCAGGGCUGAGCCUGGUCAGUACCUGGAUGGGAGACCUCCUGAGAAAACUCAGGUUGCUGCUGGA